GUUAAACAGCUUGGUCAGUAGUUGUGAUACAUUUUCCUGGUUUGUGUUGGAUUCAGGGAGCCCCCUUACCCUAAUGUUAUUCCUCCGUCCCCUGUGCAGCAUAUUAAGUGUUGAUGUGUGCUUACCGAUUUGUUGCUGCAUCAGUGGUAACUGAGGGCUGCAGGCCGCAGAGGAGGAUUCAAACUGUUUCACUCUCUCAUCCAGGGAACUCAGGCCGGAACCCAA